rnacentral:piRNA from 1 species
UAACAGGACCACAUUUGAAUCUUCGAUGUU